GACUGUAGAUCCGGGCGCCCGGGGGCAGAGACCGGGCGAUCCGCACUGUGCUGUACCCGCAGUGGGCACCCAGCUCCAGCACCGUCAUUGGGCUCAGCUCCAUCAGCAGCCGGCCCAAUGGUGCUGAUGAACUCCACUUUGCUGCACCAGACAUCGAAGGCUUCCAGGAUGCUGUCUGGGUCUCCAGGGGUGGCGUGAGUGAGAACAUACUGAGCGCAGAGCAGCAGCACCGGUGACAAAGAGGAAAGUGUGUGCGUGGGUGCAAGAAAGUGCUUCUCUUUUGAUGCGACUCCAAACAUGUGAUGUCUCAACAACGUAAGCUGCUGUGAAAUAAAAUGGUGAAAUACAAGGCAAUAUAAAACUC